rnacentral:rRNA from 1 species
GUCUAUGGCCUUGCCACUCUGAACAAGCCCAAUGUCUGAUCUCGGAAGCUAAACGGGGUCGGGCCUGGUUAGUACUUGGAUGGGAGACCACCUAGGAAGACCAGGCGCUGUAGGCA